UAGUCCACGCCGUAAACGAUGUCGACUUGGAGGUUGUGCCCUUGAGGCGUGGCUUCCGGAGCUAACGCGUUAAGUCGACCGCCUGGGGAGUACGGCCGCAAGGUUAAAACUCAAAUGAAUUGACGGGGGCCCGCACAAGCGGUGGAGCAUGUGGUUUAAUUCGAUGCAACGCGAAGAACCUUACCUACUCUUGACAUCCAGAGAACUUAGCAGAGAUGCUUUGGUGCCUUCGGGAACUCUGAGACAGGUGCUGCAUGGCUGUCGUCAGCUCGUGUUGUGAAAUGUUGGGUUAAGUCCCGCAACGAGCGCAACCCUUAUCCUUUGUUGCCAGCGGUUAGGCCGGGAACUCAAAGGAGACUGCCAGUGAUAAACUGGAGGAAGGUGGGGAUGACGUCAAGUCAUCAUGGCCCUUACGAGUAGGGCUACACACGUGCUACAAUGGCGCAUACAAAGAGAAGCGACCUCGCGAGAGCAAGCGGACCUCAUAAAGUGCGUCGUAGUCCGGAUUGGAGUCUGCAACUCGACUCCAUGAAGUCGGAAUCGCUAGUAAUCGUGGAUCAGAAUGCCACGGUGAAUACGUUCCCGGGCCUUGUACACACCGCCCGUCACACCAUGGGAGUGGGUUGCAAAAGAAGUAGGUAGCUUAACCUUCGGGAGGGCGCUUACCACUUUGUGAUUCAUGACUGGGGUGA
rnacentral:rRNA from 1 species